UACGAAGGGAUCUAGCGUUGUUCGGAUUUACUGGGCGUAAAGGGCGCGUAGGCGGUUAUGUAAGUAAGAUGUGAAAGCCCUGGGCUUAACCCGGGAACUGCAUUUUAAACUGCAUAGCUUGAGUGUUGGAGAGGUAAGUAGAAUUCCCAGUGUAGAGGUGAAAUUCGUAGAUAUUGGGAAGAAUACCAGUGGCGAAGGCUACUUACUGGACAACAACUGACGCUGAGGCGCGAAAGCGUGGGGAGCAAACAGG
rnacentral:rRNA from 1 species